GACGAACGCUGGCGGCGUGCUUAACACAUGCAAGUCGAGCGGUAAGGCCCUUUCGGGGGUACACGAGCGGCGAACGGGUGAGUAACACGUGGGUGACCUGCCCUCAGCUCUGGGAUAAGCCCGGGAAACUGGGUCUAAUACCGGAUAUGACUCCAUGACGCAUGUUGUGGGGUGGAAAGCCUUGUGCGGCUGAGGAUGGGCCCGCGGCCUAUCAGCUUGUUGGUGGGGUGAUGGCCUACCAAGGCGACGACGGGUAGCCGGCCUGAGAGGGCGACCGGCCACACUGGGACUGAGACACGGCCCAGACUCCUACGGGAGGCAGCAGGUGGGGAAUCUUGCGCAAGUGGGACGAAAGCCUGACGCAGCGACGCCGCGUGAGGGAUGAC
rnacentral:rRNA from 1 species